rnacentral:rRNA from 1 species
AUUGAACGCUGGCGGCAUGCUCUACACAUGCAAGUCGAACGGUAACAGGCCGCAAGGUGCUGACGAGUGGCGAACGGGUGAGUAAUGCAUCGGAACGUGCCCAGUCGUGGGGGAUAACUACUCGAAAGAGUAGCUAAUACCGCAUACGAUCUAUGGAUGAAAGCGGGGGACCGUAAGGCCUCGCGCGAUUGGAGCGGCCGAUGUCAGAUUAGGUAGUUGGUGGGGUAAAGGCUCACCAAGCCAACGAUCUGUAGCUGGUCUGAGAGGACGACCAGCCACACUGGGACUGAGACACGGCCCAGACUCCUACGGGAGGCAGCAGUGGGGAAUUUUGGACAGUGGGCGCAAGCCUGAUCCAGCAAUGCCGCGUGCAGGAAGAAGGCCUUCGGGUUGUAAACUGCUUUUGUACGGAACGAAACGGCUCUGGUUAAUACCCGGGGCUAAUGACGGUACCGUAAGAAUAAGCACCGGCUAACUACGU